CAAGAAAUAGCAUAAAAAGUGUGCUUUGUUUACACCAAAGAGGUGGGUUAUAUCCUUUCUUGU
rnacentral:tRNA from 1 species